rnacentral:tRNA from 1 species
GGAGAGAUGGCUGAGUGGUUGAAAGCACCGGUCUUGAAAACCGGCAUACGUUAAUAGCGUAUCUANGGUUCAAAUCCCUAUCUCUCCGCCA